UGGGGAAUAUUGCACAAUGGGCGCAAGCCUGAUGCAGCCAUGCCGCGUGUGUGAAGAAGGCCUUCGGGUUGUAAAGCACUUUCAGCGGGGAGGAAGGCGAUAAGGUUAAUAACCUUGUCGAUUGACGUUACCCGCAGAAGAAGCACCGGCUAACUCCGUGCCAGCAGCCGUGGUAAUACGGAGGGUGCUAGCGUUAAUCGGAAUUACUGGGCGUAAAGCGCACGCAGGCGGUCUGUCAAGUCGGAUGUGAAAUCCCCGGGCUCAACCUGGGAACUGCAUUCGAAACUGGCAGGCUAGAGUCUUGUAGAAGGGGGUAGAAUUCCAGGUGUUGCGGUGAAAUGCGUAGCAAACUGGAGGAAUACCGGAGGCGAAGGCGGCCCCCUGGACAAAGACUGACGCUCAGGUGCGAAAGCGUGGGGAGCAAACAGG
rnacentral:rRNA from 1 species